GCUGCUAAGAGGAGGAGACACCAGCAGAAGCCCAAAGAAACAGGAAAAGAAGAGGCUCAGUGACCCUGGGUCCAGAUGUGUUUGAAGGCUCAGAUCAGCUGUGCUGACCAUGAUUGGAGAAAGAAUCGUCGGUCUGCUCUGGAGCUGGGGAAUCAAAAGCAUGCAGCGCCUCCCAACACAGCAAGUGCACUGCCUCCAGGGUUCCCAAUGAACCAAAAGCAGGAGGUCGAGGCCUGUGCACUCAAGGCUCUCAGGAGGGGAAGCCAGCCUUCCCCAUGUGAGGCUUCAUCCUCCCCUUGGAAGAGCCACAUUUCCUUAACUUGGGAAACCAGCUGUAGGCCCGCCAAACUAAUACCUCUGAAAGCCUCAUCCAGCUCUCCUCUAACUGGCUCCGUUUUCCUGGAUACCACCCAUGUUCCAAGGCAUGUCUCUGUAAAUAUUAAUUAGGUGUGGUCUAUGAAUGCCCCUGAUGGCUUCUUGGACUCCUGAAUAGCCUGGC
rnacentral:lncRNA from 1 species